rnacentral:misc_RNA from 1 species
AUUUAAUUCAAACCAUUACAAUCCUUAAACUCGAUCAUCAAUAUUUGUCUUCCAAUAUACUAACUUUGCUCAUUUGUUUGAGCACAAGCCUACAUCCAAAUAAAGACAUGCCUCUUAUUCUAAGCCUCUUAGUAAGAAGAGAACCACUUAACCUGAUUGAUGAAAGCCCCCACCACAUUUAACCUGUGUUCCUCAUUCCAGCUGCUAUCCCAUUGAUAGUAAUAAGCAAUGCAUCUCUUAGUUUGUUGUUCUCUGCAUCACAUCUCAGCCUUUUUAAUAUCUCAACUUGUAGUAGGUUCAAAGGAUUAAGAUAAUGAAGUCUGCUUUCGAUCAGCUUUCUCAAACUUCGAUUGUUCUCAGACAGUUUCCCAUGUCUG